rnacentral:rRNA from 1 species
CGGAUUUAUUGGGCGUAAAGGGCUCGUAGGUGGUUGAUCGCGUCGGAAGUGUAAUCUUGGGGCUUAACCCUGAGCGUGCUUUCGAUACGGGUUGACUUGAGGAAGGUAGGGGAGAAUGGAAUUCCUGGUGGAGCGGUGGAAUGCGCAGAUAUCAGGAGGAACACCAGUGGCGAAGGCGGUUCUCUGGGCCUUUCCUGACGCUGAGGAGCGAAAGCGUGGGGAGCGAACAGGCUUAGAUACCCUGGUAGUCCACGCUGUAAACGGUGGGUACUAGGUGUGGGGUCCAUUCCACGGGUUCCGUGCCGUAGCUAACGCUUUAAGUACCCCGCCUGGGGAGUACGGCCGCAAGGCUAAAACUCAAAGGAAUUGACGGGGCCCCGCACAAGCGGCGGAGCAUGCGGAUUAAUUCGAUGCAACGCGUAGAACCUUACCUGGGUUUGACAUGGAUCGGGAGUGCUCAGAGAUGGGUGUGCCUCUUUUGGGGUCGGUUCACAGGUGGUGCAUGGCUGUCGUCAGCUCGUGUCGUGAGAUGUUGGGUUAAGUCCCGCAACGAGCGCAACCCUUGUUCACUGUUGCCAGCACGUUAUGGUGGGGACUCAGUGGAGACCGCCGGGGUCAACUCGGAGGAAGGUGGGGAUGACGUCAAGUCAUCAUGCCCCUUAUGUCCAGGGCUUCACGCAUGCUACAAUGGCUGGUACAGAGAGUGGCGAGCCUGUGAGGGUGAGCGAGUCUCGGAAAGCCGGUCUCAGUUCGGAUUGGGGUCUGCAACUCGACCUCAUGAAGUCGGAGUCGCUAGUAAUCGCAGAUCAGCAACGCUGCAGUGAAUACGUUCCCGGGGCUUGUACACACCGCCCGUCAAGUCAUGAAAGUUGGUAACACCCGAAGCCGGUGGCCUAACCGUUGUGGGGGAGCCGUCGAAGGUGGGACUGGUGAUUAGGACUAAGUCGUAACAAGGUAACCGUA